CACGUAGGCAGCAAGCGUUGUUCGGAGUUACUGGGCGUAAAGGGUGUGUAGGCGGUUUUUUAAGUUUGGGGUGAAAUCUCCCGGCUCAACUGGGAGGGUGCGCCGAAUACUGAAAGACUAGAGUGCGGGAGAGGAAAGUGGAAUUCCUGGUGUAGCGGUGAAAUGCGUAGAUAUCAGGAGGAACACCGGUGGUGUAGACGGCUUUCUGGACCGUAACUGACGCUGAGACACGAAAGCGUGGGUAGCAAACAGG
rnacentral:rRNA from 1 species